rnacentral:rRNA from 1 species
UACGGAGGGGGCAAGCGUUGUUCGGAAUUACUGGGCGUAAAGGGCGCGCAGGCGGCUGCUCAAGUCAGGCGUGAAAGGCCUGGGCUCAACCCGGGAAUUGCGCUUGAGACUGGGCUGGCUUGAGUGCGGGAGAGGAUGGUGGAAUUCCCAGUGUAGAGGUGAAAUGCGCAGAUAUCAGGAAGAACACCCGUGGCGAAGGCGGCUCUCUGGGACGGUACUGACGCUGAGACGCGAAAGCGUGGGGAGCGAACAGG